rnacentral:rRNA from 1 species
GAUGAACGCUGGCGGCGUGCCUAAUACAUGCAAGUCGAGCGAACAGACGAGGAGCUUGCUCCUCUGACGUUAGCGGCGGACGGGUGAGUAACACGUGGAUAACCUACCUAUAAGACUGGGAUAACUUCGGGAAACCGGAGCUAAUACCGGAUAAUAUAUUGAACCGCAUGGUUCAAUAGUGAAAGACGGUUUUGCUGUCACUUAUAGAUGGAUCCGCGCCGCAUUAGCUAGUUGGUAAGGUAACGGCUUACCAAGGCGACGAUGCGUAGCCGACCUGGGAGGGUGAUCGGCCACCCUGGAACUGAGACACGGUCCAGACUCCUACGGGAGGCAGCAGUAGGGAAUCUUCCGCAAUGGGCGAAAGCCUGACGGAGCAACGCCGCGUGAGUGAUGAAGGUCUUCGGAUCGUAAAACUCUGUUAUUAGGGAAGAACAAAUGUGUAAGUAACUAUGCACGUCUUGACGGUACCUAAUCAGAAAGCCACGGCUAACUACGUG